CUGCCUGCUAUUUAUGCCACACACUCAAGACACCAAUUGUCAAGAAUUUCCCUGCAAACUGUCAUAUGUUAGUGAAUCUGUUUGGAGGAAGCAGCGGCGGCAGAGGGCGAGCAGCGCGAAGGGAGAGACGCCACUUCUCAGCUGCUGAGCAAAUUGUCUGCUGGGCAUGAGGGGGGCAUGAAGGAGGAAUCUGAGCAGCAGCGGCGCAUUUUAGCAGCCAGUUCUCUCUUUGGCGUGAUGGAGAGGAAGCGUCGAAGUGAAAGACUGAGAGGCUCUAAAGUUGACAGCUCGUGCAGCUCAGCCCGUCAGGAGCUCGCGGCCCAGACACCUCGGACAAUUCAUUAGGGAGAUCCAAUCCACUUCAAGUCCACCUUGAUUAAGAGACACAAUGUCAUCACAACAAUGCGCGAGGGGCACAGCUCGUGGAAGGAGAGGACUCUGGGAUAAAGACUGAAUCGGGCAGGUGAUUAGAUGGGGAGGGAAAGGAAAGGUGUUCAAAAUGUAAGAGAGAAACAGCGUUAGGUGGCGGGGCUGUGAGGCUCUACAGCCGGACAGGCAGCCGGGGGACGAACCGUGACUCCGGUAACAGAGAGAGAAAUAUCACCCUCGACUGGAGCUUUGAUCAACCGAGUGAACCGGGGAGGAGGAAGAGGAGAUGGGGGGGUUGGACGUCCACGGAGGGAGGGGUACCGGUCCAGUGCUCUGCUCUGCUUUUGCAGGACCCCCGCCCCCCCCCCUUUUUUUCUUUUCAAAUCUUUUUUUUUUACAAGGGAAUAUUGCAAACAGGCGAUGACAUUCAUAAUUCACAAUAAGCCACAUUGAUCAUUCUGAAUGUGUUUAUUUGAGGAAUAAACAGCCCGUUUCUGUGAAGCUGCUCAGUUAAUAUUAUUUAGAUAAUUUUUCAUUUCUAUUCCAGAGUAGAAAACCUCAGGAGAUGGAAUAGGAAAAAAUAAUAAUAAUUCAGUGUAGAGCUGAAAAAUGUGCUAAUUUUCGAGAUAAAGAUGAAAAGCAAUCAUAAAAAAAGAUAAAUUAUUUUUGUGGAAUUAUAUUUGAUCUUAUUGUAAGUACAUUAGAGUCCAUGCAGACUGCACGCGCAAUUCGAUGCAAAUAACAAGGAAAAAAAAUACGUUCUUUGAAAUGACAAACACUUAAAUAUAGUCACCAUUUAAAAAAAACCUACUUCUUUAGCCAAGAACAAAACCCUGCAUCACAUAACAAUGCAACGUUUUAAUUCUAUUUUUUACUAAAUACUCACAGAUGGAGAAAUGUGUUUAAGCAAUGCAUAACUGUGCUUUGUUCUAAUAUUAUUUACAAACUUUACAGUGCCAAACGCGUAAAAAGCUCAAAAGUUGACCAUAAUAUUCAGUGUGAUUUAGAGUACGAGCUGCUAGAGGACGUGGCCGGGAGGAGGUGUUUUCCGCCCCAGCUCUGCCCAGUCUGUCAAUCAUUCCUCACCGCAUUAUCACGCACUCCCAGGACCGAAAUCCGACCCUCCCUCCAUCCCUCCUCUAUCCACCCAUCCGUCCCGGCGCGCGGUGCUCGCGCAGCAGAAAAAGGCCUCAUAAAGCACACAUGACAUAUUUAGUGAAAUUCAGAGUCUGUGAUGUUAUAACCCACAAACGCAAAGCACGCACAGUCCCACAAUCGACUGGCUGGGGUUGUGCUGAGUCCCCCCCCCCUCCCACCCCCUCCUGUAGAUCAGCAGCCAAACAUAUGCCGAUGUGAACUCGACGUGGAUUAUUGAGCCAACAGCAACUCUACGCAAACAUUUUCCAGACUUUCCAACUCCGGUCCCGGCCUGUGCUGAGAGAAAUCCAAUGGGAUUUAUAGAUCAUCUCCCUACAGCUGUCCCUUCUCAGUCAGUCAACCCCCCACUGAAUCCACACACACACACACACACACACACACACACACACACACACACACACACACACACACACACACACACACUCACACACACACACACACACACACACACACACACACACACACACACACACACACACACAAGCGCCGGUUUUCAGAGGAUGUCCUCCUAAACCAUCCACAGCUAUGACCACCUCUGUCUUCUUCACUGUCAGUGUGUUUUCUCAAGGAGAUCAUAUGAUUCAGUGAAUUUGGGGGCUUUAGGGUGUGCAACCUGCAUGAGACUCUGAGGUCAUCCAGAAACAAGGCCACCAACACCACCAGAGUCCCGUUCAGCCCUCUAGGGGGCGAAUUCAGCCUGGCGAAAGAAAGAGCAUAGUUGGCGAACUAAUAUUUCUUUAAAUUCUAUUCAUUGCUGUGUAAUGUCAGGAGAAAAACACCAGAAGGCAACAUAAUCUCCACGCUUUCCCAGUUAGCUUCUUUUCAAUGAUACCAUAAUUAGAAAAUAAAGCUAAAAGUGGACUCACGCACUCAAAUAUAUGGAUAUAUUAUUUUAUUAUUUCCGUUUUAAAUUAAAUUUGACAGGGAAUAACCCUCAGUUGGUUUCGUUCAAUAUAUGUUAUACUAAUGUGCAAGUGUAAAAGAAAAUAUUCCUAUUCUUAUACAUUUAUUACAAAAAAUAUAAGUAUGAU